GAUGUACAUGUUUGAAUUGGAUCUUCAUCUAUGGUUUCCUUUGUCAACAUUUUGUUAGAAACGAAUGAGAUGAGAAAAAGUAAAAUCCAAGAAAGACGUUCAUUGCUUAAUGAUAAUCAUAGGAAAUUACAAAAUACAAUUAAAAAAUACAUAUAUAAGAGAAUUAAAACUUCGGGUAUACGUGACUUCAUUAUAAAAUAACAAGAAAUAACAAAGAACCUUCUUGAUAAAGCCUUACUGACUUUUUAAACAAUAAAGUGUUUUGCAAAGUUGGCCAACAUACUGUAAUUUAUUCUUAUCCGAAACAGAUAACUCCACAACCCAUCAAGCGAGAAUGAGUUUUCGUGCUUUCGUUAUAGUCAAAGUGUAACAUGGGAAAUUGAACAAGUGCAUUCACCACUUGUGACCGAUAGAGUCGCAAAAAAUUUUUUUGUUGAUUAUUAUUACUAUGUACUCGGGAUAGCCUCUGCAGUUCUUAUUUGUAGUGUUACCAACGAAGCUCCUGCGAAUAAACAGCCGUAAAAAGACACUGGUCAGGAUAACAAUCCUAUUCUCAUGGUGAACAUCAGACGACAAGAACGUUUUUAGUCCCUGAUAUGACUCGGCUAGGUUACAAAGUAAACACUCUAUUACAAGCUUGCCAGUUUGAAGCAGCGACUAAUACAACAUACCACAAAGCGUGGUCAAAAGAAAUCUCUUUCGAUCACAUCAUUACCAAAAAAAAUGAAUGUUUACCCAACCUCAAUCCCAGGGCCUUUCCUCCGGCAUAAAAGAAGAAACAAGGAGGUCUGGGAUAGAAGUUGAUGUUUACCUUUAAGUGGAUUUGUUUACAAGUCAUACAAUACAACUACCAGUAGCUGUACUUAACACACAGAAAUAGGAAUGUAAUUUUCGUUGGAAGGAAUUUUCGCAGAGGAGAGUAAAGAAAAAAUACUAAUGUUAUAAAUGCUAGUAACAGUGUUGCAGUGUAAAAUUGUGUAAUUGGUGAUGAUUCAAAGAAAUACCUUAAUUAUUUGUCA